rnacentral:rRNA from 1 species
AACGAACGCUGGCGGCAUGCCUAACACAUGCAAGUCGAACGAGACCUUCGGGUCUAGUGGCGCACGGGUGCGUCACGCGUGGGAACCUGCCCUUAGGUUCGGAAUACCUCCCCGAAAGGGGUGCUAAUACCGGAUAAUGUCUUCGGACCAAAGAUUUAUCGCCUUUGGAUGGGCCCGCGUUGGAUUAGCUAGUUGGUAGGGUAAAAGCCUACCAAGGCGACGAUCCAUAGCUGGUCUGAGAGGAUGAUCAGCCACACUGGGACUGAGACACGGCCCAGACUCCUACGGGAGGCAGCAGUGGGGAAUAUUGGACAAUGGGCGAAAGCCUGAUCCAGCAAGGCCGCGUGAGUGAUGAAGGCCUUAGGGUUGUAAAGCUCUUUUACACGGGAUGAUAAUGACAGUACCGGGAGAAUAAGCUCCGGCUAACUCCGUG